GAUGAACGCUGGCGGCGUGCCUAACACAUGCAAGUCGAGCGAACAGAUCAGGAGCAUCCUCCUCUGACGGUAGCGGCGGACGGGUGAGUAACACGUGGAUAACCUACUUAUAAGACUGGGAUAAUAUUGGGAAAUCGGAGCUAAUACGGGAAAAUAUAUUGAACAGCAUGGGUCAAUAGUUGAAGUCGGUUUUGCUGUCACUUAUAGAUGGAUACGCCCACCAUUGGCAAGUUGGUAAGGUAACGGCUUACCAACGCAACGACGCGGACCCGACCCGAAGGGGAGAAUGGCCAGACGGGAUGUGAGGCAGAGCCCAGACACCUACGCGAGGCAACAGUAGAGAAUCUUCCGCAAUGGACGAAAGCCUGACGGAGCAACGCCGCGUGAGUGAUGAAGGUCUUCGGAUCGUAAAACGCUGUUGUUCGGAAAGAAGAAAUGUGUUAUUAGCUAUGCACGCAAUGACGGUACCUGAACAAAAAGCCACGGCUAACUACGUG
rnacentral:rRNA from 1 species